rnacentral:tRNA from 1 species
GCGCUACCCUUACAAGGUAGAUGUCACAAGUUCGAGUCUUGUAAUGCCCACCA